AUACUUAAUUACUGAAUACCAGUUUCAGUUUUUCUUGAUACCUCUCUCCCGCUCAUUUAUCUUCAUCACUAGCUCUGCAUUUUCUCUCUCUUUGCCUUCCAUCACCCUCGCCAUUUCCCUUCCCAAGGUCUUGCGUGAUCCAAGCUUUAAUUUAAAUCAUUUUGGGUGACACGCACGGUCAGAAAUAUUUUGUGAAGAUGAAUAGAAAAUUUGGUGGUGGAAGACAACCAACAGGGACUCCUUCACUGGCUUUGUCCUGUGUGGUUGUUGUCUUCUCUCUGCUUGCUGGUGCUUCUGUUGUUCACAAUAUCUAUAAGCCUAAUCUUACAUUACCUCCGGUUGAUGGGACCAAGCAGAAAUCUGAUGGGAAAGAAUGAUCAUCUCCCCUGUAAAUUUCUUAUGAUAUAGUGAGAUACCAGGCUUUGGGGCUUAAGGUACAGUAACCACUGCAUUCUUCACACAGGCUUUUCUAAAUAUGUCUCUGCAAUGUUCAACAUAUUUGAGAGGACCAUGAAUAUACUUCCUCAGCACAAAAUGUUCUUCUCCCGACCCUUCCUUCGACUUUUGUACGUAACAGAAAUAAUGGAUUUGUCAUUAAAAUCAGCAAACAACCUUAAAUGGCGACACCAUUUGGCCAUCUGAUUUGAAGCAGCAGCAUCUUCAUGGAUUGGAUUUUACUUUAUUGUCUAUGGUUUUAUUGCGUGUAUUUGGGAUAGAAGUUUUGUACAAAUGUAUUUAUGUAUUAUUAAGUAUUUUGAUUUAA